rnacentral:lncRNA from 1 species
GGUAUUUGGACAUCCUGGAGAACAUAGAGGGGCGGGUGCAGCGGUACUACCACAAGAGGGAGCCGCGGCAGCUCAUCCCCCAGCUCAUCCCCAAUGACAGCCUCAACAGCAUUGUCAGAUCCCAGGACAGGUGCGCCGCUGAACCUUUAGUUCCCUCCAACUUGCCAUCCGUACACCUCUUCUAGUCCUGAAAAUUGCUGGUGCCUUUUCCUAAGCAGAGCAUGAUCCAGUGAGCGGGUUUGGAGGUGUCUCAUAAGGCAACAAAGACAAUGUGUUUACAAAACUUGCCUCCCAUGCAUGUGCCAUCACCUGUAAGUUGGAUGAGUCAUCAUAUUUUUAGUUCGGAUACAGAUUCCACUAACAAUUUCUAUAUUGUUUUUGGUGCGCUUCAGGGCGCACAAGCCCAUCUCGGACGAGGAGGCAUUGGCAAUUGGCAAGGAGUUUGACGCUCCAAGCCUGUUCGAGCACGUGGCUCGCGCACGCAGGCGAGCUGUGGGCGCCAUGUUCCCUACUGACAUCUCCUAGUCAUUCAUAGUUCUCCCGUCGGAGUUGGACAGUCUGCUCUUAUUAAUGUAAUUAAUUUGCCAUAAAUCAGAAAAACAUGCAGAUUAGCACUGCCUAGACAAGGACCUGACUGGGAUUCUCCUAGUGCUCGUCUAGUGUAGCUUGUUGCCGAUGAAGAUCUAGCUAGACUCAUGACUUUGUUGACUUUUCUGACUCGUGAAAUCUCAACGCAUGCUGCUCAAAUCCCAGCAUCAUGCCCUUGAUGAUGCGCAGCCCCUGUGACCGCGCCUUGCUGUGCAUGGCAUCAUGAUGCAUUUCUAGCGAUGAGUUACUGGUCAGCGGCUGUGUAAGAGUAAUUGCUAGC